rnacentral:rRNA from 1 species
CCCUUAGACGUUCUGGGCCGCACGCGCGCUACACUGACCAGUGCAACAAGCAUCCGUCCUUGGCCGACAGGCCCGGGCAAUCUUUGAACGCUGGUCGUGAUGGGGAUAGACUUUUGCAAUUUUUGGUCUUCAACGAGGAAUUCCUAGUAAACGCAAGUCAUCAACUUGCAUUGAUUACGUCCUUGCCCUUUGUACACACCGCCCGUCGCACCUACCGAUUGAAUGGUCCGGUGAAGCCUCCGGAUUGGCGCGCACCUCGGUGCCGCCGAGAAGUUGGCUAAACCUUACCAUUUAGAGGAAGGUGAAGUCGUAACA